GUUUAGGACAUCCGGUGGGAGGUGUUGGUGGCUUUGGGGGUGUUGGGGGUUUCAGCUGUGCUACCUGUGGGCUCUCCUGGGUAAGCUGGGCUUUGCCUAUCAGUGUUGCCCUUGGGGCUGUAUGGGGUUUCCUUUUGGGCCUCCAUUAAUGGUGGCUUGUGCAAUCAGGCCCCCUAAGUCCCUUCCACUGACUUCCACCUGUUGCCGCUGCAGCGGGUUUGGG